UAGGGAAUAUUGGACAAUGGGCGAAAGCCUGAUCCAGCCAUGCCGCGUGAUAGAUGAAGGCCCUCUGGGUUGUAAAUAUCUUUUAUCUGGGAAGAAACACUUCUAUUCUUAGAAGCUUGACGGUACCAGAGGAAUAAGCACCGGCUAACUCCGUGCCAGCAGCCGCGGUAAUACGGAGGGUGCAAGCGUUAUCCGGAUUCACUGGGUUUAAAGGGUGCGUAGGCGGGUAUAUAAGUCAGUGGUGAAAGCUCCGAGCUUAACUUGGAAACUGCCAUUGAUACUGUAUAUCUUGAAUGUCGUAGAGGUUAGCGGAAUGUUGCAUGUAGCGGUGAAAUGCUUAGAUAUGUUACAGAACACCAAUUGCGAAGGCAGCUAACUAUGCGAUGAUUGACGCUGAGGCACGAAAGCGUGGGGAGCAAACAGG
rnacentral:rRNA from 1 species